AAUUUGGUGCUACUCAGCACCAUCGAUAUCACUAGAAAAAAAAUA
rfam:Zea mays cultivar B73 chromosome 1, whole genome shotgun sequence.